rnacentral:tRNA from 1 species
GGGGGUAUAGUUUAAUUUAGUAAAACUACAAAUUUGUACUUUGUUAAUUCAGGUUUAACUCCUAGUACUUCUA